CACUGAAAGGGUAGCUUCCCAGCACUAAGUGCGGACAAGAAGAUGAGGUGGGGAGCAGGAACCGUCACGAGGAGGAGGAGGAUUAAUUGGAGUGUCACCUCCUCACUGGGGUGUGAAAUCCUCAGAGGACAUCUCCACUCUGCAGGAAAAGGGCAAGGUUGGAGCGAGCAGCUGAGCACAACAUUGAGUUAAGCGCGGGCACCGAUCCCUGACAGGCCCAGCUCGUCCGGGGAGAGAGGGCAGCACGGAGGGCAAGGGAGGCGAAACUUCCCCGCCAGAGGCUGCAGGCUGAGAUCCACCUGCUCAUUAGGAUUCAGCAGAGGCAGGGUCUUUCUGUCUUGUGGAUGCCUGGUGAAAAGAGACACUACAGGAUCAUGUCUGGAUGCUCCAAAGGACUUUGCCACCCAUCUUCCAGCUCAGCUCAGCAUCUGACCUGGGUCAUAUCCUUGGCACCAGAGGGACAGCAGAUAGGCAAGUUGAGAGAGUGACCAAAAGCAACUGGGGAAGAAAUGCUUCAAGGUUACAAUCUAAAGUCAAGAGAAGUGGAAGCAAGGACCUGGAGGUAAAAACUGAAGCAGAGAUGGUGGAGGAAUGGUGCUAACUUGGCUUGCUUCCAGGCUGGCAGCAGAUCCCUUUCUUAUACAACCCAGGCCCGCCUGCUUAUACAGUGGGCUGUGCCCUCCCACACCAAUUAGCAAUCAAGAACAUGCACACAAACACGCACAGAACUGUCAGUGUGACAGAGCUGGUUUCUCAGUUGAUUUUCAAGUGUGUCUAGUGGACCAACUGAAGCUAACUAUGACAAUGAUCAAAUGCAGUGAAGACCAUGUUUGAAGAAUGGAGGAAACGGAUGCUAGCAUUAUCUCAGCAGAAAAUUUAGGAGAAACCCACAGGUUGGCUGAGAUCAGCGAGGGCUGAAGGGCUGAGUGAAAGCAGCACCAGCAUGUACGUUGUCAGGUCUGGAAUUCUCUGGGGGCCUCUUGUUCAGUUGCAUUGUGAGUUCACAGUUUAGGGGUCUGUCCUGGGUGCCUAGAUGAGCUGUGAGUUUCCCGGAAUGACCCUCAGUUUAUGCUCAACUGUCAGACGCAGCCAUCGCCACACUCCAGUGAUCACAGAAAAGUGUCAUGUACUUGCCCUGAGGUCAUCUCUGCGACCCCUGAUAUGCCUAUCAGUGGAAGCCUUUGAGACACGGGAGGGCAGUUUUCUCCCUGCUUGACUGACGGACAACUGACAGUGUCACUCUGUCCAUCCAUGGCUUUUGUCCCUGCUCAUCAGUUCACACAUACCCUGCAGACCCACUGAGUAAUGAUCAUCCAUCUCUGUGGUCCCAGGGGGCCAUUGCAGUGCUCCUUGGGCUUUUCUGCUUGCCCAGUUAAACAUCUGUCACUUCCCCGACUGCACGGGCAGUGGCUCUUCUCUCUUCCAUCACCUGUUAUUGGACAGUAAAGGCAACUCAAUUUUAUGCAGACAAAUAGAGUUUAGUGAUAAUGUGCCUCGUGACCUUUGAAGUGACAAGAUAACAUUAGUUUUUAGGGAUCCCACCUUCUUUGGCUGUCGCUGAGAGCCUGUGUCUGGCUGAGAGUAGGGACCCCUCUUUGAGAGUACAAUGGCAGUUUAACAUGCUGCCUCAAAAAUGUAAGGCGCUUCUCUCUUUGGUUUUUUUUUUUCUACCAGCCUGACAGUUUUUCAAACAUAUUCACUGUCAGCCCUAACAACCUGUCAACAAAUGCCAUUAUGUGAAAAUUUCCAAGACUCGUUUGAGGACUGCAAAAAGUGACAGACAUGCCACACGGAUAAGUUCCCCAGAAAGCCAGGGUUGAAACUUUUGAAAGACACUCUGGCCCAUCCAAGAGAGGGAAAAAAAAAAAAAAAAAAAAAAAAAAAAAAAAAAAAAAAGAACAGUCAGAUCUCUGGGAUAACAAAACAACCCACAAGAAUUCACCUGUCAUAUCAGAUAUCUGUUUCUUUCCUGGGCAAAUUAAGGUGUAUGGAAAGAAUGAAACAUACCAGUGACACAAGCUUCUGAAAUUCGAAGUUGUGCCCCAUCCACACUCUCACCUGUAAGACUAGGAAACGAACAGGAAAACAUUUUCCCUUCCUCUAGAGAAUGCAAGGGAAACCUACUUCAUGUCUGGUUCAAUGUUUUGGGGAUGGAAGCAGAGAAGAAAGAGUUUAGGUGAAGCCAACUGAAGCCAACAGUGAUUCUGACACAUUUAAAAAGGAGGGUUUGUCUGUGCAAUGCUGGACUGUGUAGCCAGGACGGUGGGGACACAGGGAGAAUGUGGCAACAUAGUUUGGGAAUGAGAGAUCUGAACUUGACCCCGACUCUGCCCUGUCAUUAUCAGCUGUCCCCGGGCAUUUUGCAGCAACCGUUUCUGCUUCUGGUGGAGGAUAACACCUGCCCUGGUGUGAUCCUGGAGGUUAAGUGAAAGGCUCUUGGCUGAAGACUUCCGUGGAGUCACAUGACUCCACAAUGCAGCAUGACUUGGAGAGAGAAAAAUGCUCUUGAACCCGAAGGCACCGUAUUUUAAUUUUAGAUGGAUUUUAUUCCCAAGAUUUUGCUCUAUCCAAAUUCAACUUGCAUGGAAUAUUUUAAGUGACGCAGCAGAUUAAAGACUUCUUUGGUCCUGCUCUGAAGAAUGGCAGUGGAAAAGGGAAGUGGCAGAGAUGAGAGAGGAAGCGACUUGUGCACAGAGCCUCCAGGAUACACAGCACCUGGCCAUUUGGAUAUUACACUGAGAUUGGUUAUAGGUUGUCAAGCUUUUCUUGGGCUUUCUCCAGAGCUUUGUGACUAGUUUGCCUUCAUACAUCACUCUUCCUAGGUGUCCUGAGUAUCUCCAGAGGAGGAUUCAUACAGGAAUGUUGGUAUCAUUGGCUCACUGACUUAUGUCUAUUCAAGCUCUCCUAAAAUUUUCAGUUAGUUCAACUUUUGGGCUGCCAGGUCAGUCUCUGCAUUGUCCUGUUUUAGCAGGAAACCUACUGUGCCAAUUUGAACAGAAUUUCCACCCAGAUCUAGGUAGUUUACAGAAAUUACAAAAAUCUUUACAGUGUGCUGUACAUUAUAACACCUAGUAUCCCUA